rnacentral:rRNA from 1 species
CAGCAGCCGCGGGAAUACAGAGGGUGCGAGCGUUAAUCGGAUUUACUGGGCGUAAAGCGUGCGUAGGCGGCUUCUUAAGUCGGAUGUGAAAUCCCUGAGCUUAACUUAGGAAUUGCAUUCGAUACUGGGAAGCUAGAGUAUGGGAGAGGAUGGUAGAAUUCCAGGUGUAGCGGUGAAAUGCGUAGAGAUCUGGAGGAAUACCGAUGGCGAAGGCAGCCAUCUGGCCUAAUACUGACGCUGAGGUACGAAAGCAUGGGGAGCAAACAGGAUUAGAGACCCCAGUAGUCCCUGUCUCUUAUAC